GACGAACGCUGGCGGCGUGCUUAACACAUGCAAGUCGAACGCUGAAGCCCAGCUUUUGUUGGGUGGAUGAGUGGCGAACGGGUGAGUAACACGUGAGUAACCUGCCUCCUUCUUUGGGAUAACGCCCGGAAACGGGUGCUAAUACUGGAUAUUCACUGGUCUUCGCAUGGGGGUUGGUGGAAAGGGUUUUUCUGGUGGGGGAUGGGCUCGCGGCCUAUCAGCUUGUUGGUGGGGUGAUGGCCUACCAAGGCUUUGACGGGUAGCCGGCCUGAGAGGGUGACCGGUCACAUUGGGACUGAGAUACGGCCCAGACUCCUACGGGAGGCAGCAGUGGGGAAUAUUGCGCAAUGGGCGCAAGCCUGAUGCAGCGACGCCGCGUGAGGGAUGGAGGCCUUCGUGUUGUGAACCUCUUUCGCUCAUGGUCAAGCCGCAACAAUGGUUGUGGUGAGGGUAGUGGGUAAAGAAGCGCCGGCUAACUACGUG
rnacentral:rRNA from 1 species